AGCUCCCACCAGUUCACCUUCAACACCAACCAUGUUCUCUGUAGCUGUGCUGCUGCUGCUGGUUGCUGGAUCCUGUGUGAAAUGUGUCACGUUGACACAGCCAGCGUCUCUGACUGUCCGGCCAGGUCAAACUCUGACCAUCACCUGUCAGGUCUCUUAUUCUCUUAACUAUUACACAGCUUGGUUCAGACAGCCUGCAGGGAAAGUGAUGGAGUGGAUUGGAGUGAAAGAUAGUUAUGGCAAUGAACUCUACAAAGAUUCACUGAAAAACAAGUUCAGUAUUUCCUUAGAUUCUUCCAGCAAGACAGUGACUCUAACUGGACAGAAUCUGCAGCCUGAAGACACUGCUGUGUAUUAUUGUUUGGCAUUCACCAUGGCCCCAGAGGCCCGUUUCAGAAAGCAGGUUUAG